GUAUGGGGGGCCCUUGCCCUAAACCUUGCAAGUCGAGCGAACAGAUAAGGAGCUUGCUCCUUUGACGUUAGCGGCGGACGGGUGAGUAACACGUGGGUAACCUACCUAUAAGACUGGAAUAACUCCGGGAAACCGGGGCUAAUGCCGGAUAACAUUUAGAACCGCAUGGUUCUAAAGUGAAAGAUGGUUUUGCUAUCACUUAUAGAUGGACCCGCGCCGUAUUAGCUAGUUGGUAAGGUAAUGGCUUACCAAGGCAACGAUACGUAGCCGACCUGAGAGGGUGAUCGGCCACACUGGAACUGAGACACGGUCCAGACUCCUACGGGAGGCAGCAGUAGGGAAUCUUCCGCAAUGGGCGAAAGCCUGACGGAGCAACGCCGCGUGAGUGAUGAAGGGUUUCGGCUCGUAAAACUCUGUUAUUAGGGAAGAACAAACGUGUAAGUAACUGUGCACGUCUUGACGGUACCUAAUCAGAAAGCCACGGCUAACUACGUGCCAGCAGCCGCGGUAAUACGUAGGUGGCAAGCGUUAUCCGGAAUUAUUGGGCGUAAAGCGCGCGUAGGCGGUUUCUUAAGUCUGAUGUGAAAGCCCACGGCUCAACCGUGGAGGGUCAUUGGAAACUGGGAGACUUGAGUGCAGAAGAGGAAAGUGGAAUUCCAUGUGUAGCGGUGAAAUGCGCAGAGAUAUGGAGGAACACCAGUGGCGAAGGCGACUUUCUGGUCUGUAACUGACGCUGAUGUGCGAAAGCGUGGGGAUCAAACAGGAUUAGAUACCCUGGUAGUCCACGCCGUAAACGAUGAGUGCUAAGUGUUAGGGGGUUUCCCGCCCCUUAGUGCUGCAGCUAACGCAUUAAGCACUCCGCCUGGGGGAGUACGACCGCAGGUUGAAACUCAAAGGAAUUGACGGGGGACCCCCACAAGCUGUGGAGCAUGUGGUUUAAUUCGGAGCAACGCGGAAGAACCUUUACCAAAUCUUUGACAUCCCUUUGACCCAUCUCUAG
rnacentral:rRNA from 1 species